GUCUGUAACUUAUAUAAAUAAAGUCGUAUAUAAAUUACGAACCGCUAGUUUUAUUGUAAUUAGAAGUAAUUACACUAAUCACGCUACAAUACUAUAUAUGGUAGAAAUUGGUCGCGUUCACCAGAAUAAUCCGAGUGCAAUCCGAUUAAUUUGCGCUGAAACGCUGACAGUUUUUUUACUAGUGAACGACUGACGUUUGACAUUCGAUUGAGAGUGUUCUGUGUUCCAUUUGUUUAUGUUUUUAUUCUUUGUUUAUAUAAUUUAUAACCUAAACCUAGACAGUUUUGUUUUUAUUUUAAAUAAAACUGAAACUGUCUAAACUAAAAUGGAUAAUAUUCUUGAAGAACUUUUGUUUGGGGACGAAAUUAGCAAAUGCCGUUAUACAUUUAGCAGAUGUACCUACCUCAAAUUAUUCCAGAAGGAUGAGAUGAAAUUAAAUAUAUAUAAACCAUAAUUCAAUAUCCAAUUUAGAGAACAUUUUCGUAUGUCCAGAACUACUUUCCAGGAACUAUUUAAUUGUAUUGGUCAUAUCCACCAAUUUGAAAACAGAAUAAUUCUAUUGGAAAAAAUUAAUGUUUAUGAUGUGGAUGCUAAGUAAACCAGAUAAUUUGUUGCUGGGGAUACGUUUGGUUUGCCAAAGAGCUCUGGACAUAAGAUUUUCACCCAAAUAAUAUAGAAUUACAAAAAAUUGGAAAUAACUAAUCUUGAAUAUCAAUGUGUAUAUUGAGUUUAAUUUUAUUGUAAAUAUUCUAUAAUAUAAUUUUAUUGUAAAUAUUGUAUUAACACAUUUGUGGACACAUUUUCAUAUGCAGACAGUAAUUUCCCUUUGUAAGUACAUGCAUAUAUAGUCGUAUCUGCGAAUGGGUUAAUUGUAAAUCGUAAUCAAUAAAAAUUUUUUGUGAAUCAAUAAAAAA